AUGAUGACUCAAAAGGAAGUGAGGGAGGAGAGGAAGUGCCAAGGAAAGGAGCUCCAAACGAAGAUAUACUUGGAGCUCCAAACGAAGAAGCUUGACAUGGAGGAGGCCGCCAAGAGGAGGAAGCUCGACAUGAAGGAGGCCAUCCAAUCGAUGAAGCUCGCGAUCGAGGCCACCAAUGCCGACACCAAAGCAAAAGAGGUGGCACUAGCAAUCAUGAGCGUGAACUUGACCAACAUGUCCCUGAAGAGAAGAAUUUGGUUUGCGAACCAGCAAAAGGAGAUGUUCGACCAAGAGGGCCUGAACUAG
rnacentral:rRNA from 1 species